rnacentral:rRNA from 1 species
GUGUCAGCAGCCGCGGUAAUACCAGCUCUCCGAGUGGUGGGGAUGAUUAUUGGGCCUAAAGCAUCCGUAGCCGGCUGGACAAGUCCCCUGUUAAAUCCAACGAUCCAAUCGUUGGUCUGCGGGGGAUACUGUCCGGCUUGGGGGCGGGAGAGGCCGCCGGUAUUUCCGGGGUAGGGGUGAAAUCCUAUAAUCCCGGGAGGACCACCAGUGGCGAAGGCUGUCGGCUAGAACGCGCCCGACGGUGAGGGAUGAAAGCUGGGGGAGCGAACCGGAUUAGAUACCCGGGUAGUCCCAGCUGUAAACGAUGCAGGCUAGGUGUUAGGGCGGCUACGUGCCGCUCUAGUGCCGCAGGGAAGCUGUUAAGCCUGCCGCCUGGGGAGUACGGUCGCAAGGCUGAAACUCAAAUGAAUUGACGGGG